AUACGUAGGGAGCGAGCGUUGUCCGGAAUUACUGGGUGUAAAGGGCGUGUAGGCGGGAAAGCAAGUCAGAUGUGAAAUACCGGGGCUUAACUCCGGGGCUGCAUCUGAAACUGUUUUUCUUGAGUGUCGGAGAGGAAAGCGGAAUUCCUAGUGUAGCGGUGAAAUGCGUAGAUAUUAGGAGGAACACCAGUGGCGAAGGCGGCUUUCUGGACGACAACUGACGCUGAGGCGCGAAAGCGUGGGGAGCAAACAGGAUUAGAUACCCUGGUAGUCCACGCUGUAAACGAUGAAUACUAGGUGUGGGGGGACUGACCCCCUCCGUGCCGCAGUUAACACAAUAAGUAUUCCACCUGGGGAGUACGAUCGCAAGAUUGAAACUCAAAUGAAUUGACGGGG
rnacentral:rRNA from 1 species